rnacentral:tRNA from 1 species
GGGUGAUGCGUCGUGAAUGGUCGGGAUAGCUCAGCUGGUAGAGCAGAGGACUGAAAAUCCUCGUGUC